GGUGGUUUGUCUUGUAAGUCGCUCUGGAUAAGAGCGUCUGCUAAAUGACGUAAA
rfam:Salmo salar isolate Sally breed double haploid chromosome ssa18, whole genome shotgun sequence.